UAAAUGAGUGUCUAAUAGUGUUUUAAAUGUGUGCAUUCUUUAUUUUAGCAUUUUGGUGCAUUUUCUUUAAAAAUUAAAAAUUCUGUCUAAAAACCACAGUAAUGCGCCACCUUCAGCUGAAAACAUAGAAUUUUUGUCAUUUUGAAUAAAUUUUAGCCAAUGGCUAAAGAGUAAAGUACUAAGUAAACCAGUAGAGUACUACGUAGCAGCUCCGUGCCAAAGUUAUAAAAGCAACGAGCGUCUCGGCCACGCCCUGUGGCGAGUGGGAGUUGGAUUUGCAAGCGAGCAUAGGAGGUCAGCGGUAGUUCAGCAUUAGCAUAUAGCAUUAGCAUAUCCUAGUCUUAGCAUAUCUUUUAGUGUUAUAAAUACUUAUUUAGUGUUAGAUUUGGCUGUUGGAUAUUGUAGUUGAGUUAGUGUUUGGCUUUUAGUGUAAUUGGGAAAGUAUUUCUGGUUUAGUGUUCCAUAUCGUCUUAGUAUUGGUGAGUAGGUGUAGUGUAGUAUGCUUGCGGUGACUCUGUGGGCAUUUUACCCGCGAUUCUGCGCGCCUCCGUUUGAAGAGGGAGGCUGCCCACCGUGGCUCUUCCGCGAUUUAGAUGCAGCCCACCGACUCUGCUCCCCCACCACGGCGGGCUCCAGUCUGAGGUGAGUCAGCUAAAUAAACGUUUUAACAUCUUCUAAAGACAAUUCCCUACCUAAAUGCAAAGUCUGAGAGACGUGGUUCACUUCCUUUAGCUAGUCAGUCGGCAAUUCUGCAACAGUGUCUCUAACUAACGCUGCACUAGUUGACAGACAGCAUUACAGCGUGAAAUCCAGCUUGUGAACAGGUUCUGUAAGGAAUUCUGUUCAGGAGGUCGCAUUUCAGGCUCUCCACAUCAUAUGUGAUGGACUUUUACGUUAUAACAACGAUCACACACUAGGAAUGUUAUAAAGCGCCUAUAUAGGAGAUUCUUUUAUAUAUUAUCUGACUUUAUAAACUCCAACAACAAUGUGCUUCUAUUUUUUUUUUCAGGCUAAAUCUACCCAAGACACUGGCUGUCAGACUGAUUUAGCUGCAUGAAUGUACUUGUCCAGGCUGAUGUGAAACCUUCCCUGUAGCAAAGCCAGCCAGAAUGGAGUUCACAGCCGCAGUGUGUCUGGUGACCCACAGGGACCAUGAUGAAAAUUCAUCUUCCAGAAGGUCCCAGAGCGUCCAGACCCCCUGAAAAGACCAAGAUGUGAGGUGUCUGCUGUUGAUUCCAGCUUCCACCUCAGUGACAGUGCAAGCUCAGUGAACUGUUCAAGCCUGGCUGAUCACCUGAUAGCUCCUGUCAUCUGGUUAUGACAGCAUGAGGAUGUCCUCACACACCUGUAACCUAUCAGCUCAUCCUGCUGAAUAGAGAGAGAAGAGACCACACCACAUCUCCUGUUCCUGGAAAGCCUUCAGCCAUCCUUCGAUGACUGAGAACCUCCAUCAGCUCUGUCUCCUGUCUGCCUACAAUUAUAAUAAAUAUUGUGUUUGACAAGUUUUUUGUGCUGCCAAAUAUCUCAUUUAGAUUCGUUUUGAUAUUUUAAUGGAUAUUUAUAAAUUACAUUGAAUAUCACAUUUUUGUUGCAUGUUUAACUAGCUCUAUUGUGAUUAAUUAAGCUAGCACCUCACUGUUAAAAGCUCGUUCUAAUUUCAAGCAUGUUUAAGUAUUUAUGGACAUGAACAAAAACAGGAAAUAUAUAAAUUGAGAUUUAUUUAAUUAAUAUAACAAAUAAGGGGGAAAGAGUCAUUGAAAGGCACGUUCUUCUGAAAGUUCCUGAUCCUGAUGACACCAGCAGAGGAGACCAGCUGCAGACACCAGAGACCAGCUGCAGACACCAGAGGACCUAGAACCAAGAGAGCAGCUGUUAUCAGUAAAUAAAUAAAGAAAUCAGGGCAGUUUUAGUGGGCUGAACACAUUACAGAAUAAUUUUCUCAUGGGGUAUUUUCAUAACUUUAUAUGCAGCAGACUGUAACUUGAGCCCAGAGCUACCGGAGAGCUGCUAUCCAGCACGUUUCAGUGG